AGCCCUGGGGUGUUGGCAUAUUAGAUUGCAAAUCUAAAGGAGCAGAAUAAAUAUCUGCCGGGGCUU
rnacentral:tRNA from 1 species